AUUGAACGCUAACGGCGUGCUUAACACAUGCAAGUCGAGCGGCAGCAUGAUCUGUAGCAAUACAGAUUGAUGGCGAGCGGCGGACGGGUGAGUAAUGCAUAGGAAUCUGCCUUGUAGUGGGGGAUAACCCGGGGAAACUCGGGCUAAUACCGCAUAAUCUCUACGGAGCAAAGUGGGGGAUCGCAAGACCUCACGCUAAAAGAUGAGCCUAUGUUGGAUUAGCUAGUUGGUGAGGUAAUGGCUCACCAAGGCGACGAUCCAUAGCUGGUCUGAGAGGAUGAUCAGCCACACUGGGACUGAGACACGGCCCAGACUCCUACGGGAGGCAGCAGUGGGGAAUAUUGGACAAUGGGCGAAAGCCUGAUCCAGCAACGCCGUGUGUGUGAAGAAGGCCUUCGGGUUGUAAAGCACUUUUAGUUGGGAAGAAAAGCUCAUGGGUAAUAUCCAUGAGUGCUGACGUUACCAACAGAAAAAGCACUGGCUAACUCUGUGCCAGCAGCCGCGGUAA
rnacentral:rRNA from 1 species